GCACUGCUAAGGAGUCGCAUAAUAGGACGAAACGGCCUUCCAGUGC
rnacentral:hammerhead_ribozyme from 1 species